rnacentral:rRNA from 1 species
AUUGAACGCUGGCGGCAUGCCUUACACAUGCAAGUCGAACGGAGUCAAGAGGAGCUUGCUUUUCUUGACUUAGUGGCGAACGGGUGAGUAACGCGUGAGUAACCUGCCCUGGAGUGGGGGACAACAGUUGGAAACGACUGCUAAUACCGCAUAAGCCCACGGAUCCGCAUGGAUCUGCGGGAAAAGGAUUUAUUCGCUUCAGGAUGGACUCGCGUCCAAUUAGCUAGUUGGUGAGGUAACGGCCCACCAAGGCGACGAUUGGUAGCCGGACUGAGAGGUUGAACGGCCACAUUGGGACUGAGACACGGCCCAGACUCCUACGGGAGGCAGCAGUGGGGGAUAUUGCACAAUGGGGGAAACCCUGAUGCAGCGACGCCGCGUGGAGGAAGAAGGUUUUCGGAUUGUAAACUCCUGUCGUUAGGGACGAUAAUGACGGUACCUAACAAGAAAGCACCGGCUAACUACGUGCCAGCCGCCGCGGUAACAC